rnacentral:tRNA from 1 species
GCCCCCAUAGCUCAGUUGGUAGAGCAUCCGCUUAGAGAGAGGAAGGCCCCCAGUUCAAGCCUGGGUGGGACCA